GAUGAAGAACGUAGUAAAAUGCGAUACUUGGUGUGAAUUGCAGAAUCCCGUGAACCAUCGAGUUUUUGAACGCAAGUUGCGCCCGAAGCCUUUUGGCCGAGGGCACGUCUGCUUGGGCGUCACGCAUCGCGUCGCCCCCCACAAUUCUCCGUAAAGGGAACAUGUGUUUUGGGGGCGGAUAUUGGUCUCCCGUGCUCAUGGCGUGGUUGGCCGAAAUAGGAGUCCUUUCGAUGGACGCACGAACUAGUGGUGGUCGUAAAAACCCUCGUCUUUUGUUUCGUGCUGUUGCUCGCAAGGUAAACUCUUUAAAAACCCCAAUGUGUCGUCUCUUGACGACGCUUCGACCGCGACCCCAGGUCAGGCGGGACUACCCGCUGAGUUUAAGCAUAUCAAUAAGCGGAGGA
rnacentral:misc_RNA from 1 species